rnacentral:rRNA from 1 species
AUUGAACGCUGGCGGCAUGCCUUACACAUGCAAGUCGAACGGCAGCACGGGUGCUUGCACCUGGUGGCGAGUGGCGAACGGGUGAGUAAUACAUCGGAACGUACCUUAUCGUGGGGGAUAACGCAGCGAAAGCUGUGCUAAUACCGCAUACGCCCUGAGGGGGAAAGCGGGGGAUCGAAAGACCUCGCGCGAUUAGAGCGGCCGAUGCCUGAUUAGCUUGUUGGUGGGGUAAAAGCCCACCAAGGCGACGAUCAGUAGCUGGUCUGAGAGGACGAUCAGCCACACUGGGACUGGGACACGGCCCAGACUCCUACGGGAGGCAGCAGUGGGGAAUUUUGGACAAUGGGGGCAACCCUGAUCCAGCAAUGCCGCGUGAGUGAAGAAGGCCUUCGGGGUGUAAAGCUCUUUUGUCAGGGAAGAAACACCGGCUCUAACACAGUCCGGGAAUGACGGUACCUGAAGAAUAAGCACCGGCUAACUACGUGCCAGCAGCCGCCGUAA